CAGUCGCCGCGGUAAAACGAAGGGGGCUAGCGUUGCUCGGAAUGACUGGGCGUAAAGGGCGCGUAGGCGGAUUGUUUAGUUAGGCGUGAAAUUCCUGGGCUUAACCUGGGGACUGCGCUUAAUACAGGCAGUCUAGAGUGAGGAAGAGGGUUGUGGAAUUCCCAGUGUAGAGGUGAAAUUCGUAGAUAUUGGGAAGAACACCGGUGGCGAAGGCGGCAACCUGGUCCUUGACUGACGCUGAGGCGCGAAAGCGUGGGGAGCAAACAGGAUUAGAUACCCCAGUAGUCCCUGUCUCUUAUAC
rnacentral:rRNA from 1 species